rnacentral:pre_miRNA from 1 species
AUCAUCUGGGCAUCUUGUUAAAGUGCAGAUUCUGACUCAGCAGGUUUGGGAUGGAGCCCAGGAUUCUGCAUUUCUAAUGAGCUCCCAGGUGAUGCUGA